AUGCUUUGGAGCAUUUUGGGGGGUUCCCGAGCUGCCACCACCGUGCCAUGGCCAAGGGUGAGCCCCCCGCAGUGCCACCCUGCUGGGGGCUUCGCUCUGCGCCCCAGCCCCCCGGCACCAGAGGGGGGCUGCGAAGGAGCCGGGGGGGGCCGGUGCCACCUGGGUUUAAUUAAAGCAGAAGGAAAUGAGCACAAAGCGAGCCAUAAAUGUCCUCGUCCACCCCAGCUGGCCGUGGUUGUCCCCUCUGGCCAGGACCCCCCCACACUGCCCCCAGCAUCGCCCCCCACCCAGUGUCCUUCCCCCAAUUUUGGGCAGAUUUCUUCUGCGUUGCCGUGCCCGAGCCAGCAGCUGCGUCCUGGUGGCCCUGGGGACACGGCUGGUGGCCUAAGCAGGACGGACGGAGGGCUGGACAGACGGACAGCCCUGCUCCCCUCCGUCCGCCCCGCUCCGGGCAGGUUUGGGGUGGGUUUGGGGCUGCCCCCUCCCCUCCUUCUCCCCCCCUCCAGCCUGCCAGGCGCAGGGUCUGCUCCGGGAGAUGCCUCCCACCGCCCGCGGGCGGAACUGGAGGGGGUCCCCAGCCCCGUCCCCGUGCCAGGGGCUGGGGGAAGCGGCUCUGCCAGCAUCCUCGUGACCUGGGGAGGGACAAAGGGACAGAGCGGGGGGGUCAGGGUCACAAGGGGCUGCUGUGAGCACGGGGACAGUGACAUCAGGUCCUUGGUGAUGGAUCCGUGCCACCUACCCGAGCCCCAAACCCGAGCCCCCAACCCCUCUGCGCCCAACCCCAGCCCCUACCCGGCUCCGUCCUGCCCCCAGCCCCGGGGUCGGGGUCGGGGUUGGGGUCGGGGUCGGUGGUGUCCGGCCCUGGGGGGGACUCGGGGACAUCGAUGGCCCGGCGGCGUCGCUGCAGGAUGGCCUCCAGCUGCCUGUCCUGGCCCCGCACGCUGCUCCUGCGCCCGCUCGUCCUCCUGCUCGCCCUGCGCAUGGCGCCCUAGGGGAUGGCACAGCGAGCUGGGGGGCUGCAGGAACAGGCCCCCCCAGCUCCGUCUGGGUCACCCCAUGAAGGGGGCACCCCCUCUGCCACCACCCCUUUUGGGGACGGAGCUGCUCACCAGGAUGCCCCGCAGCUCCAGCGCCGCGCUCCUCCGCUUGCUGGCUGACUGCGGGAGGAGGGGAGGAGAUGUCACCACGUCCCCCCCCAACCCCACAGCUCCCCCCCCGUGCCCGUGGUCCCCAGGGACUGGGGAGCUCAGGGUUUUUUGGGAUAAGCCAGGACGGGUGGGGAACCCUUGGGGUAAAGGCUCCAGCUCCCUGCCCGUCCCCAUUUGCGCUGGGAGCAGCGAUCCUACAGACCUGGCGCAUGGGGAGCGGGGUCCUGACCCCCUUUUUGGUGCACCCAGCAGAGGCGGCUCCCCAAAAACACCCCGAGCCCCAGCCCCACGUCUCCUACCUGGCUCAGGGCCACCCGCUCCUUGGCGGGUCUCAGCACCACCCCGUUCUUUAUCCUCUCCAUCAUCUCCUGCACGGCUCGGGCUUUGGCAUCGCCAGGUCCCGGUUUCCCUGUGUGGGGAGCACCCCGCUGGGAGCCGUGCCGGGCAGGGGGGGGGUGCUCCUGCCUCCAUCCGUGUCGGGAGCAUCGCCGGCAAUCCCCUGGGAAUUUGGGGUGCCCCCACACAGCGGGGGAGGGCAGGAGUUUGGGGCCACGCUCUCGGACUUACGGUGCUGCGGGUUGGCCUGCCCCUUCCUCUGCCUGAGCGCCAAGAGGGGGCUGUGGGGGGGGGAGAGGGGCUGAGAGCCUGCUGGAGCUGCCCCCCCAGCCCUGCUCCCCGCUGCACACGCAGCCAAACACGCAGCCCGCACCCCCUGCUCCAUCCACGGCACCGGCAAGCCCCCCACCCCAUUAAUUCCCCCCUCAGAGCCGUCCCCACCUCACCCACCCCAGUGCCCACCCAGAGCCCCCCCGGCACCGUGCCCAGCUCUGCCCCAUCCUCCCCCUGCCCUCCCGGCACCCGCAGCACCCCGGGGACGUGGCACAGCCCCACCGUGUGUGGGGGGGAGCAGGAUUUGUGCCCCCACAGCCCAGACCACCCCAAAGCCCCCCCUGUGUGCCACUCACUCCACGGGGACACUGGGCGCAGGCGGUGGCAGCGGUGGCUGGUGGCGGCGGUGGCGGGGGCUCGCUCCGGUGCCAGGUCCCCCUCCUGCUCCUCCUGCUGCGACCUCGCUGCCAUGGGGCCACAUUUAGUGCUCAGAGGGGGGGGGUGGGCAGUUUUAGGGCUGGUUCCCCGUACCCAGCUGAAUCCCCCAGCCCCAAGGGGGGGGGGGUCAGGGUAG
rnacentral:lncRNA from 1 species